GGCUCGGUAGCGGACGGCCCGCAUCUGCUUUCCAUUACAGAUUGUUACCAGAGUAAUGCAGACAUCGCCUGUUCGACUCAGGCCCGAGCGA